rnacentral:rRNA from 1 species
UACGUAGGGAGCAAGCGUUGUCCGGAAUCAUUGGGCGUAAAGCGCGCGUAGGCGGCCUCGUAAGUCCGUUGUGAAAGUCAAAGGCUCAACCUUUGAAAGCCGAUGGAUACUGUGAGGCUAGAGUCCGGAAGAGGCGAGUGGAAUUCCUGGUGUAGCGGUGGAAUGCGCAGAUAUCAGGAGGAACACCAAUAGCGAAGGCAGCUCGCUGGGACGGUACUGACGCUAAGGCGCGAAAGCGUGGGGACGAACAGG